UAGCGAAGCUGCCUAGAUACUGUAGAAAUUAUGCCCACGAAGCACAGAAAUGCCCAGCCAAGGACGGCUGGGCAAGGCGUUAUGCGCCAUGGACGGCGCAUAAAAGCCGGUUUCGUCAAGCAAAGAAACCCUGCAAGCAUAAUUUCGUACAGAAUCUUGGCAGCGUAGCGU
rfam:[Eubacterium rectale] ATCC 33656 chromosome, complete genome.